rnacentral:lncRNA from 1 species
AAAAUCAGCUGCCUGCCAUAUUGUUAAUUUCCCACAAUGCACUGUGCGGAUGACGUCAAUUCGCAAGACACUUGUGUGGCUUUGCUACGUGGCAAUAGGACGCAUUGCACUAAGCUGCGUGGGCGCGAGUUUUUUGUACAACGGCAUUGCAGCCUGGAAAUAGGCCUUUAAGAGAACUAAAAGCAGGGAAAUGGAGGACAGAUCGAGGAAUCAAGAAGAGGGAGAGGUGGAAGAGCGCGGCGAGACACCCCCCCCAGUUCCUGUACUCCCCCCAGAUCAGGUCCCCCCUCCAGUUCCUGUACUCCCCCCUGUUCAGGUACCCCCUCCAGUUCCUGUACUCCCCCCGUUCAGGUACCCCCCCCAGUUGAGCUUGAGGGGAUAGGAGACGCUCCCGCCCACCUGGCAGCCCAAGGCAUACGUCCGGGCAUUCUGUAUAUCAAUUAUCUGUUGUCCCUGCUACCGCCAGAUGAAGCAGAUUUGCUCGAGGCUCAACUCGUGCAGAUAGUAGUCAGUGCGCUUUUGGCACGGUACCCACAGGGGGGGAGGUAGGGGGAAUUUUUGUUAUUGUUCAAGAGUUUUUAUUUUGUUUUAAUAGUUUAUGUUUAUUUUUCUGAAAGUUAGGCGGGGGAAUCCUCAAGUCCGUGCUUGACUGUUGUUUGCUGUGUUCUAUCCCCACACGCUUCAUUCUGUUUAUUCUGUACACCAACAGUUGUCGCAGUCGCCAUGAGGGUCAAUCUCUUGUCAAAUUCUCUGACGACACUGCACUGCUGUCUCCUUAGCGGGCCAGGGCAUACCCACGGUGUAGCUUUGGAGGAAUUCAUUGUCUGGUGCGAUGACAGCUUUCCAGAACUUAAUGUGAGUAAGACGAAAGAGAUUGUCUUUAACUUCCAUCGGAAUUCUCCGCCCAGGAGUAAAGUGUGGAGUAUGAACAGGUUAGCAUCAUCAAUACUUCGUUUGGACUGGUAUGCAUAUUGACAGGGAUCAAAACAAUUGUUAGUGGCUUGAAGAGUCAAUGCCUUGAUGAUUGUCUCAAAUACUUUCAUGACCAAUGUUGUUAAGGCCACUGGUCUAAAGUCAUUGAGUUGCCGAGCUGAAACUUUCUUCGGAACUGGGACAAUGGUAGACAAUUUCCAAGCGGCUAUGAUGGAGAGUGAAGAGGUAACCGAGUGGUGGUGGUGGUGGUGGGGGGGGUCGUAUAUGACAACAACAUACGUACUUCUUGUAUCUGGCACCACAGGCACUGUUACUUCUGGCACCACAGGCAUUGUCACAAGAGUUCUGAAUUGAUGGUUUGGGAGAGUAGCAUACCACCCUGGCGUUUCUUCUUCACUGUCGUCAUACUGAAGGAUGGCGCCUCCGGCAGUUGAAUGUCACAAUUUUCUAUAUAGUUUUUAACAUCGGUGUACAUUCCCGGCCAGUACACUCUGGCUUUUAACAGUGAAAUAGUCCGGUCAUAUCCUUGGUGACCCCUGCGGUCAUGCACUAAUGUGAGAACAUCGGGUCUGAAGGCGCUGGGAAGCACAAGUUGUUUUUAUCUCACCAGGUGUAGUGUCACUCACUCUUUGCAACAGCAGCUCGUCCUGACUAAACAGUCUUGAGUGCUGUUUGCUCAGUGCGCAUGCUUCGUGUUCCUGUGAAGGCGGAGGUAACUUUGGCCAGGCAUUAAUGCUAGCCCUGAGGAUACGAUCCUCAGCCUGCAAUGCCCUCAAUGUGGCGGUUGAAAGGUGGGGAAAGACUCCAAUAGAGGGUAUAAUGUCAUCAUCCAUGGACUGGUCAUACGCGUGCACAACACAUGGCUGCUGUGCACACCACAGCUCACACGCUUCCGAAAUCUCUACUGGAAUGGGAGUGCCGUUGGAGUCAGAGAGGUACACACCGGAAUGUGCACCGUCAGAUAUUAGAGGUCUAGACAAUGCAUCUGCAGGAUUCUGAAUGCCUGGUCGAUACACAACAGUCAUGUCAACUGUGCCAGUUGCGAUGCCCAUCUCUGUUCCACUGCUCCCAGCUUUGCAGUCUGGUAAUGGACAAGCGCGUUGUUGUCGGUGUACACGACGAACUGUGCGUCUAGCAGGUAGUGUCUGAACUUGUCAGUCACCGCCCACUUCAUCGCAAGAAAUUCCAGCUUCAUGCUGCUGUAAUUGCUGUCAUUUCGCUCUGUGGGGCGCAGACGUCGGUUGGCAUAGGUAAUAACCCGCUUUCUGCCCUCCUGCACCUGUGACAGAAUGGCAUCGAGUCCCUCGUUGCUGGCAUCGGUAUCUACAAUGAAAGGGCUGUGUGCAGUCAGCGUACCCUAGCACUGGUCCACCUGACAACACCUCCGCAGUCUGACACUUUCCAGUCAGGCCAGCUACACUUUCUUUCCCCGUCACCCUGUUACAGACGACGGGGGCCGGUGUCCCUAUCGUUCGCAGCAAUAGCACACAAGUGCCGCCGGUCGUGCCGUGCGGGUGGAGGGGACAUUACUUUGUUGUGUACUGUGAGGCUGGGAGGACUGACUCGUGCGGUUAGGCGAUCUAUUUCCUCCUCCUCCUCUCUCUCUACACGCCGUGCGGUCUUUAGAAGGUCGGCAACCACUCGGUUCGCAUCAUACUGAGUAUACAGAGAUAGUGUUUACAAAGGCAUACUCAGCAUGCGACAGUACAUGUCGUGACCUUCCAGUAGUCUGUUCCCCGCAUACUCAAUAUACAAAGCUCUACAAUAACAAGG